GUUCAAAAUCAGAUUUGGUGGAUGAAACAAAAGAUCCAGGCAUGGGUGUAGCUCAGUUGGUAGAGUGCUUGCUUAGCCAGCACUGAGCUCUGGGUUUGAUCUGGGUGCGGUAAAAUCGGACACAUGUUAGGAGCCAUAAUGGGACAAGCUAAUAACUAGCAGUUGAUCAUCCUGAAGUAGCCUGCCUCGGAUUAUUAUUUAAUCUGCGACAGUGAGCCCUCAUUAAGCAAGGCUAUGAGGGACUCAUUUUAGGAAAGAUUCCUGCUGAGAUAGAACAAAGGCUGUAUUGCUUAAUCCUCCCCUGAUAGGCUACAGGUGUUAAUCGCCUAAGCCAGCAGUCUUUUACCCUCAGAAAGAGCAAGAAAGUUUUUAGGACUUUUUAGAAGUUAUCAUCAGCAUUUCAGUAUAAUUAGAGAGCUAGAAAGCCCCGAGACCCUCAUACUUUAAAGCCAUCACCAGAGUCCUACUCUGUGACUCCACUGCUACCCCUGGCCCGGGCCAGGAGGCUCCCAACGUUCUAAUUUGGUGCAGGAACAGCGACAUUGAGUAAGGACCCUAUAGAUGCCAGACCAGCUGAUUGCACCAGUCCUUCUCCAUGGACAGAGGCUUCCAAACCUCCACUUUCCUUCAACCCUACUUCAGAGCCAACAUCAUCUGCAGACUCCAUCGGCGCCAGAGACCCCAACAAAAGAA
ensembl:processed_transcript Gm14022 predicted gene 14022